ACCACUUGGUGACAGGUGGCAGCAAAGAGCUGCGCAGCCCACAGGCAGCCGAUAGCUCAACAACAACAAAAAGAAGAAGAAAAAAAAGGGUCUUACUGUACACAAUUAAAAUGUGCUUUGUGCCAUGCCUGCUCACAAUGUCACAAGCUAUACCAAAGACGACACAAGGAAGGAUGGUUUAAAAGAAGAAGGCGUUUAUGGUCAUGCUUUGUGCGGCCGCCACACAGCAACACUCUUGUUGCUCCGGGGACAGAUGCUGAACAGUGGUGGACUGCUCCUUCACACCUCUUGAAUGCAGCUGGAGGUCACGGCUCCCCCCCCCCCACCAACCCCACCUACCCCUGGAGGAGAAGGGAGGAGGAGCAGGUUCCAUUGCCUGCUGUCCAUGGAAAGCACACUCGGCACAUUCUGCAGACAAGGGUCUUCAGGGAGGAAAUAGAGGGGAAAUUGUGCAGAAAGUGUAAAAAAAAAAAAAAAAAGGGAAUCAGGAGAGUAUAUAUGGUUGACUUCGCACAAAGAAAGAGUCCUUGUUUUCACUUCUUAUGUACACGUGUGAUGUAAAUAAAACUUUUAAGUAUUGGUACACAAUGGAAAUGUAAAGCCAUAAGCACAUUAGCAUUGUAGCAUUCAUUUUACACUGAAGGUAUUUUUUAAGGGCCAUGUGUUUCCUCAUUAUCAACGCUUUUAAGGGCCUUUUAAAUGAGAGGUUUGUUAAUCCUCUCUGGGGGGGAGCUCAUCUGUGCCAGGUGCUAACUUAACUGACUUUUAAACUCUACCACAUGCUGUCACCCUAAUGUCAAGUCAUGAUUAUGCUAAUGACCCCCCACAGUAAAUUGUGAGGAACCUUCUGUGACAUC